rnacentral:rRNA from 1 species
AUUGAACGCUGGCGGCAUGCCUUACACAUGCAAGUCGAACGGCAGCACGGGAGCAAUCCUGGUGGCGAGUGGCGAACGGGUGAGUAAUAGUAUCGGAACGUGCCCAGUCGUGGGGGAUAACGUAGCGAAAGCUACGCUAAUACCGCAUACGAAUCUAUGGAUGAAAGCGGGGGAUCGCAAGACCUCGCGCGAUUGGAGCGGCCGAUAUCAGAUUAGGUAGUUGGUGGGGUAAAAGCCUACCAAGCCUUCGUAUCUGUAGCUGGUCUGAGAGGACGACCAGCCACACUGGAACUGAGACACGGUCCAGACUCCUACGGGAGGC